rnacentral:rRNA from 1 species
AUUGAACGCUGGCGGCAGGCUUAACACAUGCAAGUCGAGCGGGGUGAUGGUGCUUGCACUAUCACUUAGCGGCGGAAGGGUGAGUAAUGCUUAGGAAUCUGCCUAUUAGUGGGGGACAACAUCUCGACAGGGAUGCUAAUACCGCAUACUGCCUACGGGAGAGAGCAGGGGAUCACUUGUGCCCUUGCGCUAAUAGAUGAGACUAAGUCGAGUUAGGUAGGUGGUGGGGUAAAGGCCUACCAAGGCGACGAUCUGUAGCGGGUCUGAGAGGAUGAUCCGCCACACUGGGACUGAGGCACGGGCCAGACUCCUACGGGAGGCAGCAGUGGGGAAUAUUGGACAAUGGGGGGAACCCUGAUCCAGCCAUGCCGCGUGUGUGAAGAAGGCCUUAUGGUUGUAAAGCACUUUAAGCGAGGAGGAGGCUCUUUUGGUUAAUACCCAAGAUGAGUGGACGUUACUCGCAGAAUAAGCACCGGCUAACUCUGUGCCAGCCGCCGCGGUAA